ACAAACGGACAAGCAUUAAACCCGAGAGGUGAUGAGGAGGACGCCUAGCGUCCAUGAACUCAGUAAUCCCAGACUUCCAAGAAAAGUUCCGGCGGGAGUCCCUGUAGUGACCGUACCGCAAACCGACUCAGGUGGGCAGGGUGAAUAUCCUAAGGCGUUUGAGAGAAGCCUCUCUAAGGAACUCUGCAAAAUGACACCGUAGCUUCGGGAUAAGGUGUGCCGGCGGUAGGUGAAAACACUUCGCGUGUCUAGCCCAAGCCGGUUGCAGAGAAACGGGGGUAGCGACUGUUUACCAAAAACACAGCACUCUGCUAAGUCGCAAGACGAUGUAUAGGGUGUGAUGCCUGCCCGGUGCCGGAAGGUUAAGAGGAGAAGUCAGCCGCAAGGCGAAGCCUCGAAUCGAAGCCCCGGUAAACGGCGGCCGUAACAAUAACGGUCCUAAGGUAGCGAAAUUCCUUGUCGGGUAAGUUCCGACCUGCACGAAUGGCAUAACGACUUCCCCACUGUCUCGGAGAGGCCCUCAGCGAAGUAGCACUAGGGGUGAAGAUACCCUUUACCCGCGGCAGGACGGAAAGACCCCGUGAACCUUUACUGCAACUUGACACUGACUUUCGGGCUAGCUUGCGUAGGAUAGGUGGGAGGCGAUGAAGUCGGGACUCCGGUCUCGGUCGAGCCAACCUUGAAAUACCACCCUGGCUAGCCUAAAAUUCUAACCCGCGACCGUCAUCCGGUCGGGAGACAAUGUCUGGUGGGCAGUUUGACUGGGGCGGUCGCCUCCAAAAGAGUAACGGAGGCGCGCGAAGGUUCCCUCAGCCUGAUUGGAAACCAGGCGUAGAGUGUAAUGCCAUAAGGGAGCUUGACUGCGAGACAAACAAGUCGAGCAGGUGCGAAAGCAGGUCAUAGUGAUCCGGUGGUCCUGAAUGGAAAGGCCAUCGCUCAACGGAUAAAAGGUACUCCGGGAUAACAGGCUUAUCACGCCCAAGAGUUCACAUCGACGGCGUGGUUUGGCACCUCGAUGUCGGCUCAUCGCAUCCUGGGGCUGAAGUAGGUCCCAAGGGUUUGGCUGUUCGCCAACUAAAGCGGUACGCGAGCUGGGUUCAAAACGUCGUGAGACAGUUUGGUCCCUAUCCGCCGUGGGCGCAGGAGACUUGAGAGGAGCUGACCUUGGUACGAGAGGACCGGGUUGGACUGACCUCUAGUGUGCCGGUUAUCGCGCCAGCGGUAUCGCCGGGUAGCUACGUCGGGAAUGGAUAACCGCUGAAAGCAUCUAAGCGGGAAGCCAACCUCAAGAUUAGGUCUCCCAGGUCGCAAGACCCUAAAGGCCCCUUGUAGACCACAAGGUAAUAGGCUGGGUGUGGAAGCACAGCAAUGUGUGGAGCUUACCAGUACUAAUCGGCCGUGCGGCUUGACCAU
rnacentral:rRNA from 1 species